GCCAGACUCCUACGGGAGGCAGCAGUGAGGAAUAUUGGUCAAUGGGCGAGAGCCUGAACCAGCCAAGUCGCGUGAGGGAAGACGGUCCUACGGAUUGUAAACCUCUUUUGUCAGGGAGCAAGGAGCGCCACGAGUGGUGCGGCGAGAGUACCUGAAGAAAAAGCAUCGGCUAACUCCGUGCCAGCAGCCGCGGUAAUACGGAGGAUGCGAGCGUUAUCCGGAUUUAUUGGGUUUAAAGGGUGCGUAGGCGGGCAUUUAAGCCGGCGGUCAAAUGUCGGGGCUCAACCCCGGCCUGCCGUCGGAACUGGGUGCCUUGAGUGGGCGAGAAGUAUGCGGAAUGCGUGGUGUAGCGGUGAAAUGCAUAGAUAUCACGCAGAACCCCGAUUGCGAAGGCAGCAUACCGGCGCCCUACUGACGCUGAGGCACGAAAGUGCGGGUAUCGAACAGGAUUAGAUACCCCCGUAAA
rnacentral:rRNA from 1 species